rnacentral:ncRNA from 1 species
UUGAUACUUGAGGGGAGUUGGGAUUAGUACGAGAGGACUUUCCUGAACGGACCUCUGGUGUACCGGCUUUGGUACCAACUGAAGCGCCGGGUAGCUAUGUUCGGAAGGGAUAAGCGCUGAAAGCAUCUAAGCGCGAAGCCUUGCGUUUAUCAGCGUGUGACUCGCGAGAGCGAGGCACGGCGAGGUUUCGUAGGAGAUUACUACGUUGAUAGGCCACAGGUGUAAGGCCAGUAAUGGUUUGAGCCGAGUGGUACUAAUAACCGU